rnacentral:rRNA from 1 species
CAGAGGGUGCGAACGUUGCUCGGAAUUACUGGGCGUAAAGCGCGUGUAGGCGGAACGGCAAGUCAGAUGUGAAAUCCCCGGGCUCAACCCGGGAACUGCACCUGAAACUGCCGAUCUUGAGUACCGGAGAGGGUGGCGGAAUUCCUGGUGUAGAGGUGAAAUUCGUAGAUAUCAGGAGGAACACCGGUGGCGAAGGCGGCCACCUGGACGGUUACUGACGCUGAGACGCGAAAGCGUGGGGAGCAAACAGGAUUAGAUACCCUGGUAGUCCACGCCGUAAACGAUGGGUGCUAGGUGUCUCGGGUAUUGACCCCUGAGGUGCUGUAGCUAACGCGUUAAGCACCCCGCCUGGGAAGUACGGUCGCAAGACUA